AGUUUGAUCCUGGCUCAGGAUGAACGCUAGCUACAGGCUUAACACAUGCAAGUCGAGGGGCAGCAUGUUGGUUGCUUGCAACCAAUGAUGGCGACCGGCGCACGGGUGAGUAACGCGUAUCCAACCUGCCCUGUACUCGGGAAUAGCCCAGCGAAAGUUGGAUUAAUGCCCGAUGUUCUCCAAUGAUCACAUGAGAGUUGGAGCAAAGAUUCAUCGGUACAGGAUGGGGAUGCGUCUGAUUAGCUAGUUGGCGGGGUAACGGCCCACCAAGGCGACGAUCAGUAGGGGUUCUGAGAGGAAGGUCCCCCACAUUGUAACUGAGACACGGUCCAAACUCCUACGGGAGGCAGCAGUGAGGAAUAUUGGUCAAUGGACGUAAGUCUGAACCAGCCAAGUAGCGUGCAGGAUGACGGCCCUAUGGGUUGUAAACUGCUUUUAUACGGGGAUAAAGUGGGCCACGUGUGGUCUUUUGCAGGUACCGUAUGAAUAAGGACCGGCUAAUUCCGUGCCAGCAGCCGCGGUAAUACGGAAGGUCCGGGCGUUAUCCGGAUUUAUUGGGUUUAAAGGGAGCGUAGGCCGCCUUUUAAGCGUGUUGUGAAAUGUAGAUGCUCAACAUCUGAAUUGCAGCGCGAACUGGAGGGCUUGAGUGCCCAGGAAGUUGGCGGAAUUCGUUGUGUAGCGGUGAAAUGCUUAGAUAUGACGAAGAACUCCGAUUGCGAAGGCAGCUGACUGUAGCGUAACUGACGCUGAAGCUCGAAAGUGCGGGUAUCGAACAGGAUUAGAUACCCUGGUAGUCCACGCAGUAAACGAUGACGACUUGUUGUCGGCGAUAGACAGUCGGUGACAAAGCGAAAGCGAUAAGUCGUCCACCUGGGGAGUACGAUCGCAAGGUUGAAACUCAAAGGAAUUGACGGGGGCCCGCACAAGCGGAGGAGCACGUGGUUUAAUUCGAUGAUACGCGAGGAACCUUACCCAGACUCAAAUGGAGCACGACCGGCCCGAAAACGGGCCUUCCCUUCGGGGCGGGUUCCAAGGUGCUGCAUGGUUGUCGUCAGCUCGUGCCGUGAGGUGUCAGGUUAAGUCCUAUAACGAGCGCAACCCCUACGUCCAGUUGCCAGCGGGUAGAGCCGGGGACUCUGGAGGGACUGCCAGCGCAAGCCGAGAGGAAGGUGGGGAUGACGUCAAAUCAGCACGGCCCUUACGUCUGGGGCGACACACGUGCUACAAUGGCCGGUACAGAGGGCAGCCACCCCGCGAGGGGGAGCGAAUCUCGAAAGCCGGUCUCAGUUCGGAUCGGAGUCUGCAACUCGACUCCGUGAAGUUGGAUUCGCUAGUAAUCGCGCAUCAGCCAUGGCGCGGUGAAUACGUUCCCGGGCCUUGCACUCACCGCCCGUCAAG
rnacentral:rRNA from 1 species